UUUUUGAUUAAUAAUUUAAAGUCUAAUCUGCCCACUGAUAAUAAAUUAAAGGGCUGCAGUAUUUUGACUGUACAAAGGUAGCAUAAUCAUUAGUCUCUUAAUUGGUGACUUGUAUGAAGGAUUUGAUGAAAUAUAUACUGUCUCUUUUUAAUUUAUAAAAUUUAAUUUUUUAGUUAAAAAGCUAAAAUGUAUUUAAAAGACGAGAAGACCCUAUAGAGUUUUAUAUUCAUAUAAAUUAAAAUUUUUUAUAAGAUUUAAAAUUUUAAUUUAUAUAAAUAUUUUGUUGGGGUGAUAGAAAAAUUAAAAUAACUUUUUUUAUAAUUUUACAUUAAUAAAUGAAUAAAUGAUCCGUAAUUUACGAUUAUAAGAUAAAAUUACCUUAGGGAUAACAGCGUAAUUUUUUUUUUUAGUUCAAAUAAGAAAAAAAGUUUGCGACCUCGAUGUUGGAUUAAGAUAAAAUUUAAAUGCAAAAGUUUAAAAUUUUUGAUCUGUUCGAUCAUUAAAAUCUUACA
rnacentral:rRNA from 1 species